CGUUGGUGGAGUGAUUUGUUUGGUUGAUUCCAGAAACGAACGAGAUCUCAACCCCUCAAUAGGAAUGGGGUCGCUUACAGGCGGUUCAGCUGGGACUUCGCGCCGCAGCUGUCUGCCUUGACGCCCAUUGCCUUCUCAGGGGAACAUCGUGCGUCUGUUAGCACGAUGGAGCGAGCCAAUAGCAGGUCU
rnacentral:rRNA from 1 species